UACGUAGGGCGCAAGCGUUAUCCGGAAUUAUUGGGCGUAAAGAGCUCGUAGGCGGUUUGUCGCGUCUGCCGUGAAAAUCCGGGGCUCAACUCCGGAUCUGCGGUGGGUACGGGCAGACUAGAGCGAUGUAGGGGAGACUGGAAUUCCUGGUGUAGCGGUGAAAUGCGCAGAUAUCAGGAGGAACACCGAUGGCGAAGGCAGGUCUCUGGGCAUUAACUGACGCUGAGGAGCGAAAGCAUGGGGAGCGAACAGG
rnacentral:rRNA from 1 species